ACGGGGUAGGAAUACCUCGGAACAUACCCUCAGGUCGGGGAUAGCGGCGGGAAACUGCCGGUAAUACCCGAUGAUAUCGAGAGAUCAAAGGUUUACUGCCUGGGGAGUGGCCGAGGCGAUAUUAGCUAGUUGGUGAGGUAAUGGCUCACCAAGGCAUAGAUGUCUAGGGGGCGUGAGAGCGCGACCCCCACCACUGGGACUGAGAAACUGCCCAGACACCUACGGGUGGCUGCAGUCGAGAAUCUUCGUCAAUGGGGGAAACCCUGAACGAGCGACGCCGCGUGUGGGAUGAAGGCCUUUGGGUUGUAAACCACUGUCAGGGGGGAUGAAACCGCAAGGUUGACAGAGCCCCAGAGGAAGCACGGGCUAAGUUCGUGCCAGCAGCCGCGGUAAUACGAACUGUGCGAACGUUAUUCGGAAUCACUGGGCUUACAGGGUGCGUAGGUGGCCGGACAAGUCAGGUGUGAAAUCCCUCAGCUCAACUGAGGAACUGCGCUUGAAACUGUUUGGCUAGAGUGAGCUAGGGGUGCUUGGAACUGCCAGUGGAGCGGUGAAAUGUGUUGA
rnacentral:rRNA from 1 species